rnacentral:rRNA from 1 species
GAGCCUGAUCCUGGCUCAGGAUGAACGCUAGCGGCAGGCCUAACACAUGCAAGUCGAGGGGCAGCGGGAGUGCUUGCACUCGCCGGCGACCGGCGCACGGGUGCGGAACGCGUAUCGAAUCUGCCUCUAUCUGGGGGAUACCCCAUGGAAACGUGGAAUAAUACCCCAUAGUAUUACCUUAUCGCAUGAUUUAGUAAUUAAAGAAUUUCGGAUAGAGAUGACGAUGCGUAUCAUUAGCUAGUAGGUAAGGUAACGGCUUACCUAGGCAACGAUGAUUAGGGGUCCUGAGAGGGAGAUCCCCCACACUGGUACUGAGACACGGACCAGACUCCUACGGGAGGCAGCAGUGAGGAAUAUUGGACAAUGGUCGAAAGACUGAUCCAGCCAUGCCGCGUGCAGGAUGACUGCCCUAUGGGUUGUAAACUGCUUUUAUACGGGAAGAAAAACACCUACGUGUAGGUGACUGACGGUACCGUAAGAAUAAGGACCGGCUAACUCCGUGCCAGCAGCCGCGGUAAUACGGAGGGUCCAAGCGUUAUCCGGAAUCAUUGGGUUUAAAGGGUCCGUAGGCGGGCUAUUAAGUCAGAGGUGAAAGUUUGCAGCUCAACUGUAAAAUUGCCUUUGAUACUGAUAGUCUUGAAUUGUAGUGAAGUGGUUAGAAUAUGUGGUGUAGCGGUGAAAUGCAUAGAUAUCACAUAGAAUACCGAUUGCGAAGGCAGAUCACUAACUAUAUAUUGACGCUGAGGGACGAAAGCGUGGGAAGCGAACGGGAUUAGAUACCCCGGUAGUCCACGCCGUAAACGAUGGAUACUAGCUGUUGGAUUUUUUCAGUGGCUAAGCGAAAGUGAU